GUCACCAGCACCACUGGACUGUGUCUCAGCACUCAAGGGAGCGAUCCCGAUGUCUUUCUGAGCGUGCUUUGUCCGCCGGCCAGGCCUGAAGAGAACUGGGUCUUGGAGGAGUCUGAGCCACUCACUUAAAUCCGUGUCAUUUCUUUUCAGGUUUUGAGGACUUGAGGAAGUGGGACAAGCACCUUUCUAUUGUCUUCACUUGGAUCGAAAGCAAAACAGUCUCCCAGUCCGCAGCAGAUCAAGUAGUUUGGACAUAACCCGACUGAUAACUUGUGAUUUCACUUAGUUUUCUGCAUACUCUUCAUCACAAUGCAAGAAAUGAUCUCGAGUCCAGAAGGCUUUAUUUAUGAACCUUUGAAAAGGAUCUUCCAGUAUGAUGGACCUUCUAGGAGCGAUGAUGGCUUAUAUCCUCACGAUCCAAGACGGCACCUGGAGUUCCAGACCCUGUAUCUGAAUUCUAAACUGGGAAGAGGAAGAAUUGGGAGGAGAGCAAAAGGGAACACUUUCCAGGUUAAGGAUCCAGAGUUGUUACUGCGGUGGCUUGGAUCGCUGCUGUGUCGAGGAUUUGGUCCCUGGCCUGGGAACUUCCACAGCUCAAUAUGCCUUCAACUCAAACUCCUCCAGCUCCUAUCCAAUGAAAAACCAGUGGUGCAAGUGUGAUCUACUGAACAAAGUGAUGACAGAUGCUAAAUGAUCCAACACCUGAUUACUUGCUAAGCUUGGAAGGUAUUCUCACAUGAUCUAGAAUUAUUUUCUACACCAUGGCCUGAAAUGAAAAUGGUGCUUCUGAAAGACUUGAGGUAGGCAGGAAAUGUAUUUAAGCUGAUCCUCUAAUAGCUUGAACACACUAAUGAGCUGUGUUUUACUGCAAUAAUGUCACCAGGGAGAAUAACAAUUGAGGAAAUGAUACACAUUGAACAAUAAUAGUGAUUAUUUUCCAAGCAUGUACUUUAUGACAGGUUCUUUAUCAUAACGGUGCCAUGAGAUAGGUAUUAUCUCACUUUUACUGAUAAGAAAACAGAAGCUGACGGAAGUUAAAUUAAGUCCCCUAAACAGUUAUGUGGGUCUGGGAGACUUCAGAGGCCCUGCUCCUUCCGCAACUUCCAGAGUUAGAGGAAGGGGGAGUGUAAGCGAGGCUGGGCUUACCUUUCUUUGGAAAAAGGGGGCUGACAGAGGGCAGCUGCCUGGCCCGUGUGACUUUCCAGAGGAGAAUGCCUUGUCACAGGCCAUCCCACAGCUUGUAGAUUCUCUCCCUAGACCACCCUGAAAAGCAGUCUAUGUGCUUUGAAGGUAUCAUUUUAUUUAUGGAAUGAUGAGGUUAUGGAUCAAGGGGAAAAAACAUAAAGACUGGUUUCAUUUAGCAUUUAUUCAAGAAAAAUACACGCCUUUAUAAGGAAAGGAAUGGAGACUUGUCUUCCAACUCCAGCAACAAGCGUCAUUUCCUGGGGAAUUAGUGAGAACAUCUUGUCAUCCCAGAGGCCCCCCACCUUGCCAAGGCUCAACCCUGGACCUUUUCUGAGGAAAACACAUGAAUCACCAAGAAUGGAGAGGUGGGUGGAGGACUGUCCAGCCAGUGGGGGGAGGACACCUGCACAGAACCCAAGCAGAAAGGAGCUAAAAUCAAGGCAGGGGAAUGAGGUCUCAAGAGCUGGUCUACUCACCACUCAGCUUUCACCUAGUUCUUACCGUCUUUUGAUUUUAUUAGAUUUUUUUGGCAGUAAUUUAUCAGUCUCUUCUGGCUCUCUUGCUUCUCCCUUUUUAAGAAACUCUGCAUCCUGAGGGUCUUUAUGGCAUCAUGGGAGUGAUGCUGUCCUGUAGCCCCUCCUCUGGUGCUCACUGCAUGCCACCCAUGAGUGCAAUGACACCAUAAUGAAGAUUUGAAUGCUCUGGUGGCAAUGAUGUCACUUUGAGGCCCCUGAAGGCAGUUUCUUCCAGCUCCUUUCUCAUUCCUGGGCAUUACUGGGUUCAGACCUAAUCCCCAGGGCCCAGGGAAGGUGAAGGCAGUGCUGCUAGCCAGAUAGCAGGGGUGCUGAGGCUUAGUGUGGGAGCACAGACCCAUCUUCUCAUAGCUUUGUGUCUCCUUUGCCUUUAGAGACUCUACAGAGCUUUGGGUCAGAGCUGCCUCUCAGACUGCAGGCUGAAGGCUUAGGAAAGGCUUGGAAUCCAGGUUGCUCCUCAGGUAUGAGAAUCACCUGCUUGUCAUAAAGGACUCCCCUCCCCCAACCUUCCAUUGGGAGGAGGUAUGGAAAAAGCGGAGCUGACAGAGGGCAGCUGCCUGUCCCGUGUGACUUUCCAGAGGAGAAUGCCUUGUCACAGGCCAUCCCACAGCUUGUAGAUUCUCUCCCCAGACCACCCACAUUGUCCUAGGAGGGAGAGUUUUCUAAGGUAUGUAGAAGUUAUCAAAAGGGUGGAGAAGUAAGAAGCAAGACAGACUUUGCCAGGAAGGAAAAAGUGGAGAGAUUUUGAGUGCAGAGGCAAACCCCAGCUCUCAUAGAGAAGAUUAAGGGAGAAUAGCCUAGAAGCGGAAUGAGGAAAUGUUCACAUUUUUACCUGGUUCUACCCAUGCUUUCUAGAGUAGGUGAUGGUGUUGCCCACCAGUGAGCAGCUUUCCGAGAGCUGUGUUUCUGUACCCCAACCCCACCCCUAACUUGGUCAGCCAGCAGCCUCAUCUCUCCCUUGACAUGUGGACAGUCCAUCUACAAUGUGGACAGGGACCUUCAUCUCUGACUUCUUUCCACAGUCUGUGCAACACCCCACCCCCCACCCCCGUGUGAUGCCGCACCACUAGCUCUCAGUGCAAGUCUGACCGGUCACUUAACAUGAGGGAGCUCAGGGCACUUUGCAGAAGGAGGCUUCUCCUAUGGAAUGCCUGGGGCCUGAGUCCAGGAAUGGAGCAGCUCCAGUUCCCCUGGUGGUGAGCAUGUAGGUCAGUGUGGGAUAGCACAUCACCGGCAGAGGAAAGAAGUUGGCUAUGGAAAUGAGGUUCAAUGGAGAAUCAGAGUCACAGAUGGCUGAGAAAAGGCUUUGGCCUGCUGGGGAACUGCAGGUGGGGGUCAGCACGGGUGGCAGAAAGGAGAAAGUUGUUCCGAUCUAGUCCUCCUGAGUGCCAUGGUACUGUUACCAAAUCUGAACAUCCCCAGAGUCCCCGACUGUGGAGGUAACUUUGGCUUGGGUGACAGUGGUGUUUGGCUUGGCCCCCCACCCACUCACCUUUUCCUCCUUGCCUCCUUUCGCAGAAGGUCUAGAAAGCUCAUUGGAUGCUUGGUGUCGACCAUUCAGGCAAAUCUAUGACCAACAAGACUCUGUUGCAGCCAUUUCAGUUUGUCCCAGUGGACGCUAGGGCCUUUUGAGAUCCUGGAGUUGAGUCAUUCACUGAGAAAGGCUUCCCUGGGCUGGGGCUGGAUGUCAUUUGAGAUCCCAGUAUGUGUAAUAUUCAGGUGUCUUUGUAGGUUCCCCAACAGGCCCUGCCCUGAGCUGCCUUCCCCCUGAGCGAUCUGUGACUAUCAUCUUUCUUACCUCCUUCUCUGCUCCUCCAGGAAAUCAGGGCCACCUUUGCCUCCCUUCUUCGCUCAGGAGGCUUAGUCCUGGUCUCCCAAAUAUCUGACUGUCAUGACUAAAGACCCUUUGCUGUUUCUUCUGGGAGGUUUAAGGGUUCUUGAAAAAGAUGGAAGAAUCCUGGUAGCCUGUCCCAUUUCUCAGAGUUUCUGAAAUAAGCAUACAGAUUAAUAUCCUACAGUGACAUAUAAUUUAAAAAGUAAGCAGCAAAAUACUUUAAGGAGUUCCCCUUGUGGCUCAAUGGUUAACGAGUCUGACUGGCAUCCAUGAGGAUGCAGGUUUGAUCACUGGCCUUGCUAGUGGGUUAAGUAUCUGGCACUGCUGUGGCUGUGGUGUAGGCCAGCAGUUACAGCUCCGAUUCAACCCCUAGCCUGGGAACCUCCAUGUGCUGCGGGUGCAGCCCUAAAAAAAAAAAAA
rnacentral:lncRNA from 1 species